UACGUAGGGCGCGAGCGUUGUCCGGAUUUAUUGGGCGUAAAGAGCUCGUAGGCGGCUUGUCGCGUCAACUGUCGAAAACCCGUGGCUCAACCAUGUGGUCUGCAGUCGAUACGGGCAGGCUAGAAUUCGGUAGGGGAGACGUGGAAUUCCGGGUGUAGCGGUGGAAUGCGUAGAGAUCCGGAAGAACACCGGUGGCGAAGGCGGUCUGCUGGGCAGUGCUGACGCUGAUGCGCGACGAGC
rnacentral:rRNA from 1 species